rnacentral:lncRNA from 1 species
AUUUAAUGACAACGUCUCUUAUUUGCAGCAUGAGUGACAAAUCCUCAGAAUUGGACCUGAUAUGGCAGCCCGACCCCGUGGCAUCGUCAAAAUGCCGUUAGCUGGUGCAACAGAGGCCAAGCUCAUCUCAAAAUUCCCCAUCAUAUUCUGCAUAAAUUGCUUCAUGAGUCAUUGCUGUAGCAUUGCUGCUGCUGCUGCUAAUUGUGAUGGAAACAUCUGACCCUUCAACUCACGUCUUGAUAGAUACGUAAAGCACCUGUGCAGAGCUGAAGCUAACGAGACCAGAAAAACAUCAUUAUUGUUGGUAUGUCUCACUCAAUCGCAAAUAAUAGUCUAGUUCAUUUAACAGCAGUGUCAGAGUAACAAAUUUAUUGGACCAAAAAAAGUUUGCUUUCUAAGUACAUUCUCCUUCUUCUGCUGUUUGCUUGUUAGUCUGUGACCUUAAAUUUUGCAAUGUCCUUUACCUACUAAUUGCC